GUUGAUAGGUCAGAGGUGUAAGUGUGGUAACAUAUUUAGCUGACUGAUACUAAUAGGUCGAGGGCUUGACCAAAUAA
rnacentral:rRNA from 1 species